UCUUCAAACAGAAAUUUUGUAAAUGGUUUCAAUGUAGUCUCAAAUUGGCAAUGUGAUCCGAUGAAGGAAAGCAGAUAAUGCUUUAGUUGUGGGUGAAUUAAGGGCCCUAAGGAUAGACUGCUGCAAGGGGAGCUGAUGGUCCAAACACGCAACUGUCUGCUGUGGGCAAGACACUUCACCACACUGGCCUUUGCCUGCUGAUGUGUGAAAUGUGAGGCUUGGAGAAAAUGCCUCUCAGCUCAGCAUCAGCACCAUCAGCACCAAAACAGCAACGACUCUGCACUCUGCCGGCUCGGGGAGUUAGACUUCCACUCUAGUAUCCCUUCUACAUCACAGCCAAAUUCUAGAGUGAGGAUGUCAUUACGGCCAAGAAUGGAAAGAAAAACCAAGAUGGAUCAAACAGGAGCCUGGGACUUUUCAGCUGGGGGUGGGAGCAGGUGGUGGUGGCAGAGAAAAAUAACUCUUGGCUCAUUGCAAACAAAAUGACACCACGUACUCAUUAGGGACUACAUUUUAGUUGGGAAAAUGGUUUUCAAUUCUUUUAAAGGAUCUUGCACCUGCAUAUGUGCAGCUGCUGUGGACGUCCAUGACAUCUAGGGGAAUAGAGAGGAAGAUACAUCCUGGCGUAACAGAACCUGGGUAGGUGAAGGGUGUUAUUUGUGACUAUUAGCAGAAGUUGAGAAGAGAUGUGUUAGGCAAUUCUGGGUUACAGCAGGCUUGAAGGAGGUAGAGAUGAGCUCAUCAGAAGGGUGAUGGUGUGAUAAUGGUGGUUGAUGACAGCAGAGGUAAUGAUGAUGGUGGUGUGAUGGUGGUGAAGGUGGUGACAACUGAGGUGGGGUGGGGGCAGGAACUAGGGUUAGGUGGUUAGGAGAAGAACAUUGUAAGGCUUGACUUCUGGGAAGAACAUAGGGGUUGUUGGUAAAGAAAUAAUUUUGUUCCCCACUCUUGUGGUCCCAUAGUCCACUCUAUAAAGCCUUGUCCUUUUGACAUUUCAACUUCCUGAUCGCCUGGCUGCAGCUCAAAUUUGGAAAGUGAAGCUGUUCUACAAGCAAUUGUCUUAGAGGCCCCAGGAGUUCUGAGAGAAGAUUUUUCACUAAUCUGGCCAAAUUUGGUGUUUGAUGGUGAAUAAGACAACAGCAACAAACAAACACCCACACCCGCCCCCAGCCUCGGACAGCUUCAUAAGAAAAGACGCUACUUCUUGACCACUUGACAGAGCUGUCUACAUCCCAGAGAGAUGAUAUAGCUCAGGCGGAACUAGUGCUUUGCUGCGUCUGGAUUCUGCAGUCAACUCCUUGCAAAGUUUUAACCCUGGGAUAAAAAGAACAAUCUUCCUAAGGAGGUGUUAUGAAGACGGCUUUGCCCCUAAAAUUCCUUCAGGAUGAAAAAAAUUCUCCUGAUAAAUAUAGUUAUAAUUGUUUACUACUUCUUAAAUGCCAAGUGGUGGAAGGGGGAGGGGGAUUACACUACCAAGUUCCUACAGAAAUAUACUUCAUA